rnacentral:rRNA from 1 species
UUAAAUUGAAGAGUUUGAUCAUGGCUCAGAUUGAACGCUGGCGGCAGGCCUAACACAUGCAAGUCGAACGGUAACAGGAAGCAGCUUGCUGCUUUGCUGACGAGUGGCGGACGGGUGAGUAAUGUCUGGGAAACUGCCUGAUGGAGGGGGAUAACUACUGGAAACGGUGGCUAAUACCGCAUAACGUCGCAAGACCAAAGAGGGGGACCUUCGGGCCUCUUGCCAUCAGAUGUGCCCAGAUGGGAUUAGCUUGUUGGUGAGGUAACGGCUCACCAAGGCGACGAUCCCUAGCUGGUCUGAGAGGAUGACCAGCCACACUGGAACUGAGACACGGUCCAGACUCCUACGGGAGGCAGCAGUGGGGAAUAUUGCACAAUGGGCGCAAGCCUGAUGCAGCCAUGCCGCGUGUAUGAAGAAGGCCUUCGGGUUGUAAAGUACUUUCAGCGGGGAGGAAGGUGUUGUGGUUAAUAACCGCAGCAAUUGACGUUACCCGCAGAAGAAGCACCGGCUAACUCCGUGCCAGCAGCCGCGGUAAUACGGAGGGUGCAAGCGUUAAUCGGAAUUACUGGGCGUAAAGCGCACGCAGGCGGUCUGUCAAGUCGGAUGUGAAAUCCCCGGGCUCAACCUGGGAACUGCAUUCGAAACUGGCAGGCUUGAGUCUUGUAGAGGGGGGUAGAAUUCCAGGUGUAGCGGUGAAAUGCGUAGAGAUCUGGAGGAAUACCGGUGGCGAAGGCGGCCCCCUGGACAAAGACUGACGCUCAGGUGCGAAAGCGUGGGGAGCAAACAGGAUUAGAUACCCUGGUAGUCCACGCCGUAAACGAUGUCUACUUGGAGGUUGUGCCCUUGAGGCGUGGCUUCCGGAGCUAACGCGUUAAGUAGACCGCCUGGGGAGUACGGCCGCAAGGUUAAAACUCAAAUGAAUUGACGGGGGCCCGCACAAGCGGUGGAGCAUGUGGUUUAAUUCGAUGCAACGCGAAGAACCUUACCUGGUCUUGACAUCCACAGAACUUUCCAGAGAUGGAUUGGUGCCUUCGGGAACUGUGAGACAGGUGCUGCAUGGCUGUCGUCAGCUCGUGUUGUGAAAUGUUGGGUUAAGUCCCGCAACGAGCGCAACCCUUAUCCUUUGUUGCCAGCGGUUCGGCCGGGAACUCAAAGGAGACUGCCAGUGAUAAACUGGAGGAAGGUGGGGAUGACGUCAAGUCAUCAUGGCCCUUACGACCAGGGCUACACACGUGCUACAAUGGCGCAUACAAAGAGAAGCGACCUCGCGAGAGCAAGCGGACCUCAUAAAGUGCGUCGUAGUCCGGAUUGGAGUCUGCAACUCGACUCCAUGAAGUCGGAAUCGCUAGUAAUCGUGGAUCAGAAUGCCACGGUGAAUACGUUCCCGGGCCUUGUACACACCGCCCGUCACACCAUGGGAGUGGGUUGCAAAAGAAGUAGGUAGCUUAACCUUCGGGAGGGCGCUUACCACUUUGUGAUUCAUGACUGGGGUGAAGUCGUAACAAGGUAACCGUAGGGGAACCUGCGGUUGGAUCACCUCCUUACCUGAAAGAAGC